AUUGAACGCUGGCGGCAUGCCUUACACAUGCAAGUCGAACGGCAGCGCGGACUUCGGUCUGGCGGCGAGUGGCGAACGGGUGAGUAAUGCAUCGGAACGUACCUUUCAGUGGGGGAUAACGCAGCGAAAGUUACGCUAAUACCGCAUAUUCUGUGAGCAGGAAAGCAGGGGAUCGCAAGACCUUGCGCUGAUUGAGCGGCCGAUGUCAGAUUAGCUAGUUGGUGAGGUAAAGGCUCACCAAGGCGACGAUCUGUAGCGGGUCUGAGAGGAUGAUCCGCCACACUGGGACUGAGACACGGCCCAGACUCCUACGGGAGGCAGCAGUGGGGAAUUUUGGACAAUGGGGGCAACCCUGAUCCAGCCAUGCCGCGUGAGUGAAGAAGGCCUUCGGGUCGUAAAGCUCUUUCGGCCGGGAAGAAAUCGCAUGGGUUAAUACCCUGUGUGGAUGACGGUACCGGAAUAAGAAGCACCGGCUAACUAUGUGCCAGCCGCCGCGGUAAUAC
rnacentral:rRNA from 1 species